rnacentral:rRNA from 1 species
UGGGGAAUUUUCCGCAAUGGGCGAAAGCCUGACGGAGCAACGCCGCGUGAGGGAUGAAGGCCUCUGGGCUGUAAACCUCUUUUCUCAAGGAAGAAGAUCUGACGGUACUUGAGGAAUAAGCCACGGCUAAUUCCGUGCCAGCAGCCGCGGUAAUACGGGAGUGGCAAGCGUUAUCCGGAAUCAUUGGGCGUAAAGCGUCCGCAGGUGGCUUUGUAAGUCUGCUGUUAAAGCGUGGAGCUUAACUCCAUUUCAGCGGUGGAAACUACAAAGCUUGAGUGUGGUAGGGGCAGAGGGAAUUCCCGGUGUAGCGGUGAAAUGCGUAGAUAUCGGGAAGAACACCAGUGGCGAAGGCGCUCUGCUGGGCCAUAACUGACACUCAUGGACGAAAGCCAGGGGAGCG